GAUGAACGCUGGCGGCGUGCCUAAUACAUGCAAGUCGAGCGAACAGACGAGGAGCUUGCUCCUCUGACGUUAGCGGCGGACGGGUGAGUAACACGUGGAUAACCUACCUAUAAGACUGGGAUAACUUCGGGAAACCGGAGCUAAUACCGGAUAAUUUAUUGAACCGCAUGGUUCAAUAGUGAAAGACGGUUUUGCUGUCACUUAUAGAUGGAUCCGCGCCGCAUUAGCUAGUUGGUAAGGUAACGGCUUACCAAGGCAACGAUGCGUAGCCGACCUGAGAGGGUGAUCGGCCACACUGGACCUGAGACACGGUCCAGACUCCUACGGGAGGCAGCAGUAGGGAAUCUUCCGCAAUGGGCGAAAGCCUGACGGAGCAACGCCGCGUGAGUGAUGAAGGUCUUCGGAUCGUAAAACUCUGUUAUUAGGGAAGAACAAAUGUGUAAGUAACUAUGCACGUCUUGACGGUACCUAAUCAGAAAGCCACGGCUAACUACGUG
rnacentral:rRNA from 1 species